CCUGUACCUAAUGCCACACAGGAUGUUCCUUCUGGGUCCUCACUCAGGAGCACCUGCUCUCACCUGUCAUCUCUGCUAUCCUUUAGGGAAAGAUGUAGUCCUCUAUUUGCCUCUCGAACUGUUCUCAGAAGAUGGGGGAGGCACACGGCUGGAAGAGGAGAUGAGCCGCCUCAAAAAUCUCUGUUGGAAAUAUUUCAAGUUUUCAGUCUGGACCAGUUCCAGGGUCCAAGCAAAUCUACUGAGCAAGGAGCUCUGAGUUGCGUCAUUCAGGGUCCAAGCAGAGAGCAGAUGUUACCCUUCAUUAAACAGGUAAGCAGAGAGGAUUAAGGGAAGGGAUUACUCAGAAGGGUUAAGGGAGAGAAGUGUGGUGAAGCCCCUGGGGUGAGAAGAGAGGGGAACGACCCCUGGGCUGAAGGGACGAGGGAAAGGAGACAGUGCCAGGACCUAGAGACACUAGCUGCAGGAAAGGGACACUGGGGCAGACUAGGGACACAAGGGGCACAGCCAAUCCAUGGCAAAGGAAAAGAGAUAACCCACCUCAGUCUCUUCCUGCCCUUUGACCACUUUCCUGAGCCUGCUGUUGGCCAAAUCCAGCUGGAAGCCAGAAGGCAAAAGAGUCCUUGGAUGCUAUCCACAAAAGUCACCCUCAAAGAGCAGAGCAGGCUGGAGAUAGGAUUAGAAUAGAUGUGCCCUGCAUAGGGGUAUUUCUCUACCUGUAGCAAUAACUCGUGAAGUGGUGUGGUGGAUUGGCUAAAGACAUAGGAUUUGUACUUAAAGUGACUGAUCCAAAUACUGGCUCCAUCACUACCUACCAUGUGUGGUUUUGAACAAAUCACUUGACCCCUCUAAACCUCAGUUUCCUCAUCUCGAAGGGGAACAUGACUCCUGAUAGUCCAAUCCCACCCAAAUAUGUGUGCUGUGUUUUUCUUUUUCAAGCUACCACCACCUUUUAGCCUGUGAAGAAACACAUCCUCUAUUUUUAAAAGGGCCUAUCAGGAGUUCCUGUUGUGGCUCAGAGGUAACAAACCCAACUAGUAUUCAUGAGGUAAAGGGUUCGAUUCCUGGCCUUGCUCGGUGGGUUAAGGAUCUGGCGUUGCCAUGAGCUGUGGUGUAGG
rnacentral:lncRNA from 9 species